UACGGUCGCAAGAUUAAAACUCAAAGGAAUUGACGGGGACCCGCACAAGCGGUGGAUGAUGUGGAUUAAUUCGAUGCAACGCGAAAAACCUUACCUACCCUUGACAUGUCAGGAAUCCCGAAGAGAUUUGGGAGUGCCGCAAGGAACCUGAACACAGGUGCUGCAUGGCUGUCGUCAGCUCGUGUCGUGAGAUGUUGGGUUAAGUCCCGCAACGAGCGCAACCCUUGUCAUUAGUUGCCAUCAUUUAGUUGGGCACUCUAAUGAGACUGCCGGUGACAAACCGGAGGAAGGUGGGGAUGACGUCAAGUCCUCAUGGCCCUUAUGGGUAGGGCUUCACACGUCAUACAAUGGUCGGUACAGAGGGUUGCCAACCCGCGAGGGGGAGCCAAUCCCAGAAAGCCGAUCGUAGUCCGGAUCGUAGUCUGCAACUCGACUACGUGAAGUCGGAAUCGCUAGUAAUCGCGGAUCAGAAUGCCGCGGUGAAUACGUUCCCGGGUCUUGUACACACCGCCCGUCACACCAUGGGAGUGGGUUUCACCAGAAGUAGCUAGCCUAACCGUAAGGGGGGCGGUUACCACGGUGAGAUUCAUGACUGGGGUG
rnacentral:rRNA from 1 species